rnacentral:lncRNA from 1 species
AGAUUAUCAGCUAUCAGAUUAUCAGAUUUGAAUGGCUUUGCCUUGUACAUCGAGAUUACUUUGUACAUGAGUAAGACUAUUCAUUGGGAACUCUUUAUGGUGUGAUUUUUCAGUAUUUAUUCAGUUCUCAGAUUUCAGAUUAUGGAAGUCAGAUAAUUCAGUUUUUAGAAUAAAGCUUUCAGCUUAUACUAUUGAGCAGCAACAAUAUUUCAUAGAUUUUCAUGAAUAUCAAAUUCUUUAUAUUUGUUAUAUCUCACAGAUAUUUAUCUAGAAUUUAGAAUAAAGAAUUUUAUAAUGUAAUCAUGCUUAGUUUUUAAAAGUAUUACUAGAUUCAGAAAUUCUCAAGGAUUUAAUAAAGUUAAAAUUUUUAAAAAAUAUGCAUAAAUAGAAAAAGUUUACUUAUUUGCAAAUCAUCCACUCACUGAGUUACAAACUCAUAUUUUUGUCAUGUUUUUCCUAUCAGGAGACAGUUGAUUUUUGAGAUACUGGGAAAAGCCUGCUGAAGCCAAAGAGACAGUUUCGUAGUAUGUAAUGUAUAGUUGGGGAACUCAUGUUUAUUAAGUACUUGUCUAAUAUUUGGUGUGUCAUGCACUUCGUAGAAAGGUUGGUAAUUGAUGUAAUGUUUGCAUAUUGACAUGAUGAUAUUGUAGAAGCACUCAGUCGAAUUUUGUUAUAUUUUGUAGUAGUUGUGGUGGUAUUAGAGGAAGUGGUGGUUUCCAUUAAAUGUCUAUUUGAGAUUUUGAUGAUUUUUCAGGUUGGUUUUGUCCAUGUUACAGGGGAAAUUCUGUCAAAAUUUUUAUAGAAUUAUGUCAUGGUCAAGUAGGUCACGU